GAAAGCGAAGCCGCGAGGUGGAGCAAAUCCCCAAACACGGUCCCAGUUCAGAUUGCAGGCUGAAACCCGCCUGCAUGAAGACGGAAUUGCUAGUAAUCGCGGAUCAGCAUGCCGCGGUGAAUACGUUCCCGGGCCUUGUACACACCGCCCGUCACACCAUGAGAGUCGGUAACACCCGAAGCCUGUGAGCUAACCGUAAGGAGGCAGCAGUCGAAGGUGGGAUCGAUAAUUGGGGUGAAGUCGUAACAAGGUAUC
rnacentral:rRNA from 1 species